UCAUCCACCCCUUAGUUUUAAAUCUUUAUAUUAUUAUUAUUACUACUGCUACUGCUACUAAAAAAUAACACCUUCAAAUGUACCUCUUUUUCGCCCUCUGUAGUAUUAUUACUCGAUAUAUGAAAAAUGAGUCGCUAUUUCUUGAAAUGCUUAUAAAAUCUGGUUUGUGCAGUACAUUCCCGGAACAAAGAUGGUUUUUCCUGGAUUAAAGAAGCCACAAGAGCGUGCAGACCUCAUUGCUCAUCUGAAGGAAGCAACUUCCUGAUCUUUUUGACGACUUAGGUUACCUUUGUAUAUUCUAAUGUUUUCUCAAUAUUUGAGGAAGAAAUUUUGUGCAGGGUAAAUUUAUCUGAUGUGGCAUUUCAGGAGCUAUUUAUGUUUUUUUUUUUUUUUAAUAUAAUUAAGAUCCAACGUGUGACGGUUGAGUGUU